GCUGGGCACAGUGUGUGUGCCUAUAGUUCUAGCUACUAAGGAGACUGAGGUGGGAGGAUCACUUCAGCCCAGGAGUUCAAGACCAGUCUGGGCCAUAUAGAGAGAUCCAGUCUUAA
rnacentral:sRNA from 1 species